rnacentral:rRNA from 1 species
GAUGAACGCUGGCGGCGUGCCUAAUACAUGCAAGUCGAGCGAACCACUUCGGUGGUGAGCGGCGAACGGGUGAGUAACACGUAGGUGAUCUGCCCAUCAGACGGGGACAACGAUUGGAAACGAUCGCUAAUACCGGAUAGGACGAAAGUUUAAAGGUGCUUCUGGCACCGCUGAUGGAUGAGCCUGCGGCGCAUUAGCUAGUUGGUAGGGUAAAGGCCUACCAAGGCGACGAUGCGUAGCCGACCUGAGAGGUGAACGGCCACACUGGGACUGAGACGACCGG